UCAGUUUGGUUCGGUUCAAGCCGUCUGUUGUACACAGCUUGUAAACAGUUCAAAAGCGCGCGUUGAAAAGUAUAAACGCAAGUUCGGUUAUUGGUCCGUUCGAGUUGUUAUAACGAAAAACCAAACUCAAAACGAAAUAGAGAGCAGUGCAAAAGAUCACGAGUUAGAAGUAAAGGGAAUUAAUUAAAAAAUAUUAAAAAAUAAAAGAAAAAGUGUUGAAAAUUUACUAUAAAUUAGAAAUUGUGAAAUAUCAGAAAUAAUAAAAAAACUCUAACACAAAAAAUAAUUGGCGUAAAACAGCGAGCGUCAACACUCCGGCAACGCAAUGCAACGGUUCGGCUAAAUCGCUUGUCGCGCGUAUUUGGCGUAAAUAAUUGUGCCGAUGGCGUAGCAAAAAUAACAAAAAAAAGAGAAAUAUUGAAAAAGUAAUAUUUGCAUUGUGCGCCACCAGGUAAAUGAGCCGCGCAAUUGUAACGAAGUGAAAUAAAACGAAAGACUAACUUCAAAAGCAAAGCGCAAAUCUGCCGAAACCACAAAAUCAAUAAAGCAAAAAA
rnacentral:lncRNA from 1 species